CUCGGGUGACGAGCGGCGGACGGGUGAGUAAUGUCUGGGAAACUGCCUGAUGGAGGGGGAUAACUACUGGAAACGGUAGCUAAUACCGCAUAAUGUCGCAAGACCAAAGUGGGGGACCUUCGGGCCUCAUGCCAUCAGAUGUGCCCAGAUGGGAUUAGCUUGUAGGUGGGGUAACGGCUCACCUAGGCGACGAUCCCUAGCUGGUCUGAGAGGAUGACCAGCCACACUGGAACUGAGACACGGUCCAGACUCCUACGGGAGGCAGCAGUGGGGAAUAUUGCACAAUGGGCGCAAGCCUGAUGCAGCCAUGCCGCGUGUGUGAAGAAGGCCUUCGGGUUGUAAAGCACUUUCAGCGGGGAGGAAGGCGGUGAGGUUAAUAACCUCAUCGAUUGACGUUACCCGCAGAAGAAGCACCGGCUAACUCCGUGCCAGCAGCCGCGGUAAUACGGAGGGUGCAAGCGUUAAUCGGAAUUACUGGGCGUAAAGCGCACGCAGGCGGUCUGUCAAGUCGGAUGUGAAAUCCCCGGGCUCAACCUGGGAACUGCAU
rnacentral:rRNA from 1 species